UACAGAGGGUGCAAACGUUGUUCGGAAUUACUGGGCGUAAAGCGUGUGUAGGCGGCCACGUAAGUCGGAUGUGAAAGCCCCAGGCUCAACCUGGGAAGUGCACUCGAUACUGCGUGGCUUGAGUAUCGGAGAGGUUGGUGGAAUUCUCGGUGUAGAGGUGAAAUUCGUAGAUAUCGAGUGGAACACCGGUGGCGAAGGCGGCCUUCUGGACAAUGACUGACGCUGGAACGCGAAAGCGUGGGGAGCAAAAGGG
rnacentral:rRNA from 1 species